rnacentral:lncRNA from 1 species
CACCCCCUCUUUCGUCCUGUUCGUCGUCUCUCUCAAUCAGAGACGAACAUGAACAAAACGCUAGCGCCGCGACCCUUUACCUCCACCGUAAGCCCGGCGGCCUGAGCUCCGAUGACCACCAAAUCAACACCCUUGAACCCCCAGACCAUCCCCUACACGAAUCCACUAACAACUUUCUUCAAAUGAUUCCAGAAGUACUCGAAUUUUCAAUCGAAGGUUUGAGCCAAAACUCGACUGUCUCCAAUGGCUACCAAGUUAACAUCCUAUUACUUCCCAGCCACCUCCAGCACAAAUCCUCAAAUCAUUUGGCUCGAAUCAUAUCAAAGCUUCCCGAAUCUUCAUUUGAAGAUUCGAGCCAAACGGAAACCUACGCCAAUCAAUCCUAAAUUCAUACCUUGGCAUCCCUUGACUUCCCCCAUGCCCAAAACGAUCUUUGUUUUGAGUUGAAUCUGCCCAGAAACAUUCAGGCCCCAAAUCCGAGCCCAAGAACCUUAAAAUAUCUAACCUAGGUUUUGUCCGAAAUUGAGGGAAGUUUACGGUUCCUGUUCGACCUUAGAGAACACUCGAUUAAGGUCCAUUUGACCCCAAGAUUUCAAAACAGAGUUCAAGUAAGGUCCGUUUAGUUUUCUGAUUUCAUCCUCAAGGUAUUUCUCCUCUAUUUUGUUUAUUCUAUUUUUUGGUUUAUUAUUAUUCGUUCAUAUUGCUAUAUCGAUUUUAUCUUUAACUUCUGUUCAUGGUUCUUCUUCACCUUCAAUCAGACCUUUAAUUUGGUCACUUUAUUCUGUGCAUUUGAACGUAUCUUAUAAGCUACAUUUGGUUCGAAUAACUUCGUCGAAUAGUUGGUUUGUAAGCUCUUUUUUUUACUGCAGCUCUUUUUUUACUGCAGCUUAAUCACCUAUUUGUCUGGGUGUCUAUAUAUGUGAUCGGUUAUAUAUGUAGUAAUUUGUGUAGCCAAUUGUUUAAAUGUCGUCAAUUAGCUUCGCAUAUUGGAUGCCAGAAUCACAUUAUGAUAGUCCAUUUUGACUCAUCCCAAUAUGAUUAUCAUUUUUUUGCUUCUAUCUAUGCUGAUUGGGUGAUUAGGAUGAACUCGUUUGGUGUUCAAUUUUCUUCCUUGCGCCAAGCUGUUUGCCCGUUGUAUGCCACCACUGUUCUGUAUAUUCUUCACAUAAACCUUAUUUCUGCUUCAAUUCUUCUUUGAAUCAUUGAUAUUAAGGAUUGGUUAUAGUUGUGUAGUUGUUUAAUUAGUUAAUAAUCAGUGUUAGUUGUAUUUUAAAGGGGUUAUACUUACUAUUUUGAAUCAGGGCAGUAACGGUAGGAUCCUAGGGUGUUUUACGAAUAAAAAGAAGAAGGAAAUAUGGUUUGACUAAAUAGUCUACUCAGUAGGGCCCCUAAUAGCUUUAAUUUGAAUUAAUUGGUAGAGGGGGACCACGAAGUAAUGAGAGUGUUUGCUUAAUUGAAAUUAAGAAUAGUAUAAGUAAUGAUAAAAGCUAAAAGAAUAUAAAUAGGAGGGGGAAUAUAGAAGCUGGAAAGUAACAAAAAGGUGAAGGGUAAUAAUAAAAAAAGGAUAGUAAUAAUAAUUAAAGGGGAAGGGAAGAGAGUCUUGUUUUAGAUAUAAAUAAGAGUCAUUUGACACUUAGAGAAGGAUCGGGGGGAGGGGGGUUGACCAGAAUUUCAGAGAUUUGGAGAGGAAAAAAGCUGUUAAGUAAAAAUACGGAGAGAAAAAGAGAACACAGAGAUAAAUAUUGAUUAAGUAAUGAGAGUAUUAGCUUAAUUGAAAUUAGGAAUAGUAUAAGUAAUGAUAAAAGUUAAAAGAAUAUACAUAGGAGAGGGAAUAUAGUAACUGGAAAGUUAAAAGGAGUAAAAGAGUAAUGAUAAUAAGGUAAAAGUAAAAGAAAAUGAGCUGAAAAAGGGGAAUGCCUUUGGUAUAAAUAGAGGUUAUUGGAGAAGAAUCAAAGGAGGAGAAAUUGGGAGUUUUUCAGUGAUUGUGCUUGAGAGUUUUCUUUCCAGUUAUCAGUUUUUAGAAAUCAGUUUUUGGAGAGUCUAAAAAUAUAAGAAAAGAGUUUGAUAGAGUCGAGAUUUUCAGUCUAAAACCAAAGUUUAAGAUAGGAAGAGAUUCAAAAAGAGAGAAGCUACUGUUUCAUUGAUACUGUUUCAUUAAGUUCUCUUUUCUUCUUUCCUUCCAAAUUUAAAUCCCAACUUGUUUAGGCUACAUUUGGUUCAGUGAGUGUGUGGAAGGAACUUCGCUGUUUCUUCAUUUAUUUUGGGAGUUGAAAAUCAAGAGACGACUGCACUGUCUUACUGUUGCAUUGGAUCUGUUUGGUGAUUUUCUGCAAUUCUUCGUAGUGUCGAAACCAUUUUGGGGUAUCUGAUAGUUUGAAGGUCAAAAUCAAGUUUAUUUUGGGGUUUUUUCUGGUUCAUUCUUGGUUUGCUUCGAUGUUGUUUGGAGUGUGUCUGCAUUUUUUUCUGAACUUUGAAACUUUCCUGGGUUUAACUCUGUUUGGUGCUACUGCUGACUUUGAUCUGUUACUGCUGAGCUUGUUGAUCCUGCCUUCUUUCAUUUUUUCCUUGAUUCCAGGUAUUUGUUUCUCUUUUGAUGUAUUGAAGCUGAUACUAAAAUGGAAUUGCAAAUGACAAUGUUUAGCCAUGUUGCUCAUCGAGCUUUGUCUGCUUUGAACCAUGAUGUACUGAUUUAGACGUAACCAUUUAGCAUAGCCUAGUUUAUAAUUUGCACAUAGCUGUAUGAUCAGACUGAAAUUGGAUUACAAUCAGACUGUAUUAGAUAAUAGCUGUCCAGUUUAUAUAUCUUAGACGUUAGCUAUUUUAAUUAAUUGUGUCAUCAGUAUAUCGUAGUUAGUCUAAUUGGUUUUCAAUAAGUUAUAUAGGAAUGUGUUCAAAUAGUUUUCCAGCAUGCCAUUUCAAUGUUUUUCAGAUGUAAGAUCGAGAGUUAUGUAAGCGAAUGAUGCUAGUUUGAACAAUGUUGGUCAAUAACACUAGUUUCUUUUCCUUUUCUUUUGAAUAUCAUUGGUCAACGUUGAUUUUAAUUUUAAUAGUUGUGGAAACUAGUUCUAAAUGAUUUCAGAUUUCGUAUAGAUUAAUGCCGAUAAUCUAGUUCAUCUUUGGUUUAAAAUAAGUUGAGGACAGUUAGUUCGUUUUUGUUGUAAAAAGUCAAUUUUUCUCUUUCAGUUUUCAACUUUAGUAAUGUGCACCAAUAGGUAAAAGAAUAAGAAAACAGAUCAUGAGAUGAAAAGACCCAAAAAAUAAUGUUAGUCUAUCAAGUUUGUUGUUUCAAUUUAAUAUUAGUGGCACAUCGGUUUAGGCAUCAUCUAGAU